rnacentral:rRNA from 1 species
UACGUAGGUGGCAAGCGUUGUCCGGAUUUAUUGGGUUUAAAGGGUGCGUAGGCGGUCUAUUAAGUCAGUUGUGAAAUACGGCAGCUCAACUGUCGAGGUGCAAUUGAUACUGAUGGACUUGAGUACUGAUGAGGUAAGCGGAAUGGACGGUGUAGCGGUGAAAUGCUUAGAUAUCGUCAAGAACACCUAUUGCGAAGGCAGCUUACUAAGCUUUAACUGACGCUGAUGCACGAAAGUGUGGGGAUCAAACAGG